rnacentral:lncRNA from 1 species
UAUGAUAUGAUUAAAUAUGUGAUUAAGAUCCAAAAAUAAUAAAAUCUGCAUCGAUCAUAUCGAUGCUCUAGAUUAGAUCUAGUCAUUAGAUCUGAUCCAAUCUGAUCUAACGAGUUCAGAACUCAUUAUCAGAGUGUGGGUUGCUGAACUCCAUAAUUGAAUAAUAUAGAUUAGAGCUCCUUCAAGUUGCUUGCAACCGCAUAAGGUGUAUGGCCUCUAUGGAUCAUCCACAUGAAGAUCGAUUGCUGAUCAAUCUCCUCAGGAGUGCUACCUCGUGAAGAUCUUUGAUGGCUAAUUUAACUUCUUCUUCAAACCUUUUAGACACCCUAGAGAAGGAGAAGAACC